GGGAGCUCUAGAAGGUGCGAACCAGUAAGAUCCUGAGAACUGAAGUCCCUGAUCCUGCAGUCCAGUGGGAGUCACCUGGUGAUGCCUAGGUCCCUAGCAAAUCCAAAGGCAUCCGCCAGGGUCAGCUGCAGCUGGAUGGUCUGUGGCCAACAGGCCAUCCUCAGCAAGUGGGAACGUGGGUGGGAUGUCACAUUGCCACCUUUCUCCAUCAGAGCUUCACCCCGGGCCAUCUGACACAGAGUCUUUAUUUAGGGCUACCACGCCUGCAUCAAGGAGUGGGGUUACUAAGUUGCCAGUGUGUAGCAGCUGGGAGAAGAGAAUAAACUAGGCCCAGGAUGUUAAAGGAUGUUACAGUUUCCAAGGUCAAGAGAAUCUACCAGCAAAGAGACCUUCAACAACCUCCAAUUCCAACUGCCUCCCAGCCUCAGAAGUGUUGCUGUGGCUCGUUCACGUUCAUUUCAUUCGAACCCUCCUGGUCUCUUUGUCUUUCAGGUGGAAGGACCUUGGAACAUCUGGGCCGAGAAUUCUGGCACACCAUUUUGCUGGCUUCUCCCCCUCCACACACCUCCUUUUCUGGAUAUAAUAUGAGCAAGGCAUUUGCAUCUAAUGGUUCAGUAUUCUUUCUCCACAGACAUCAAGGACUUCAGUGGCUACCUGUGUUAGCAAGCCCAGGAUGCUGUGGAAACGGGCUGGAACAAAAGGCGGCAGAGGGAUUUUUAUUAGCUGUGCAAUCUUGGGAAAGUCUCAUACCUCAUUUCGAGUCUUAGUUUCUCAUUCAUCAAAGAGAGGGGACUUAACGAGGUGUUUUUUUUUUUUUUUUUU